AGGAAAUAAACCAUGUUUAAAUAUAAUAAUAGCAAAAAAAAAAAAAAGAUAAAGUCACGUGCAUGCUCCCAGAAAGAAGAAAAAACAGUUGUAAAGGAAAUGAUAAUGGGUAUGAAAUAGCCAGAAAAAGGAGAAACCUGUGACAAUUGAGAAGUGUGAGAGGCAUCAUGCAAUGUCAAAGGUUAUUUUGCAUGAAGUUUAUCUUGAACUUAAAGGCAAGACCUCAAGAAGCCAGAAUAAGAGCACAUGAUUUCCCCCAAAAUUCAAGAUUUUGGAGUGAAGGCCUGAAGGCAUUAAUAGUAAUUGCCGAAAGCGGUGGCUCACACCUGUCAUCCCAGCACUUUGGGAGGCUGAGUUUAGAAAAAAACCUUUGGACCUGGUUUGAUCAAGGAGAAAAGCAAGGGAAUUCAAUCAGGU